rnacentral:rRNA from 1 species
CCUACGGGGCGCAGCAGUAGGGAAUCUUCCACAAUGGGCGAAAGCCUGAUGGAGCAACGCCGCGUGGGUGAAGAAGGUCUUCGGAUCGUAAAACCCUGUUGUUAGAGAAGAAAGUGCGUGAGAGUAACUGUUCACGUUUCGACGGUAUCUAACCAGAAAGCCAUGGCUAACUACGUGCCAGCAGCCGCGGUAAUACGUAGGUGGCAAGCGUUAUCCGGAUUUAUUGGGCGUAAAGGGAACGCAGGCGGUCUUUUAAGUCUGAUGUGAAAGCCUUCGGCUUAACCGGAGUAGUGCAUUGGAAACUGGGAGACUUGAGUGCAGAAGAGGAGAGUGGAACUCCAUGUGUAGCGGUGAAAUGCGUAGAUAUAUGGAAGAACACCAGUGGCGAAAGCGGCUCUCUGGGCUGUAACUGACGCUGAGGUUCGAAAGCGUGGGUAGCAAACAGGAUUAGAUACCCGAGUAGUC